CCUUAGGUAAGUGUAUUCAGCUGGCUCCGCUGCUAACUCUGGAACCUUAGGGGUCCCUGGACAUUGACUUUCACCUCCUCCUGGAUCAAGUUGUGAGGAUAAAAGGACUGAGAUUUGUUACCAGGGACAUGGAGAGAACAGAGGCUGCAGGUGCUCCAGGACCCUUGGUGACUGUCCCAGGCUGGCUGCCCUAGGAGAUGCUCUAAGAAGACCAUAGGUGCGUCUCCACGGGCAGCUCUCCUAAGACCUUCGACCCUCCUAAGACCCUCAACCCUCAAGUCCCUGGAGGCAGAAAUGUUCUGGGCCUGCAAAACAGUUAAGGGACAUUAAGGAGACCAAGAGGGACAUUUCCAGUGAGCCGUGGGCAGCAUUGCAGAAAUGUCGUUUGGGGGCCUGAGUCAGGAUCAAGACACACUAGAGACACCUUGCAAGCUGAAAUUACAGCAGGAGGAGUGACUACGAGUAAGUGGGGAAAGCUUGAAGAGACAGAAGAAAUCCACGCAUGCAGACCAGCCUGGAGGCCAGACAAGGCCAGAAAGCAUGGACAGUCUUACUUUCCUUUGUGUUCUGUUUCCCCUGGCUUCCUGGGCAAAUAUACCUUUAAAAAAACUUUCUCAUGAAGAAACCCCUGUGCUUCUUUUUCGCUCCUUGUUACUAAAAGAGACUAAAUUGGAACAGCAGAUAGCAGGAGAAAAAAGUCUCUGACAAUAGAGUACAUAAACUUUAAAAGAAAACAAAAACAAGACCAGACAGGAGAACUGUACAAGGUCAGUGGUCCAGGGCUACGAAGGAUAGUGGCAAACAGUGGUUCCAUUCAAUGGUCCCCAAGGACCUGAGCUCCGUGCAACCCUGGGCGAUAAUCGAUAUUUAUAGCAAUGACCUUGAGUCUUCAGGCACAGGCUGCUUGACGUUCAGCAUAUUUUCAAAAGGCAAUGAAGCAUGCAGUUUACUUCAGAAAAAUUUUCCUUCAAGUUAAAAAAAGUUUGGGUGCUUUAAAAAGGCAAGGUUCGUGCAGUUCCUUGCUAUUUUUUAGUUUUUCAAAUGCAUAUAUUUAUUUAUACAUGCCUUGCCUUAUUCCAGCAAAGAUUAAUGAUGACUUCCAAAAAUACACAAAAUCCAAUAAGAUAGCAUAAAUUGACAGUAAGAGGGAAGAAGAAAGCAAACCAGGGUGUGGACAUAGAGUUGAUCCAAGAGAGUCAGUUAUCUGUAAAACUCACUUCUGUGGAACACCCCACUCCUUGGAAGAUCAUGGAACACCAUAACUAGUAUUAAUCAUUAUUUGAUCACUUUUAAAUCUAGAGCAGGGUCAGGGUUUAUCUUCUGAAUGUAAAAAUCAAAUUGAAACUGGAAGAAAGGAACAAAGAAAAUAUUGGCUUAAAUCAGAGAAAAUGUAAUAAUAAAUGUAUAUAAACAUGCAUUUCAUAAGCUGUCAGUUUAAACAUAUGUUUACAUAUGUCUGUUCCUUUAUUUUGGUGAAAUCAUUCCUUUAUUUCAGUAAAAUAAUUAUUACAUUAUAGGAAAACUUUUUUACAUUGAUCCAAGUAGCAUCAUAUUACAUUAUCCAACUGUUAAUUUUCUGCAAUAUCUUUUUUAUAGAUCAAUAUUAACCUAUUAGGAGAAGAACACAGAUAUUUAAGGUUGAGUUAAACUACACAAAUGUAAUUGUUAGGUCUCAUAAAAAAGCAAGAAUUUUUCUAGGAGCCCUGGUUUUAAUAAGUUCUUCCUAUGCAUACUGGGCCUGCAUCAGGGAAAAUUUCUUCUGAUGGACACUCCUACUACAGAGUCACCGCUUCCAGGGGAAAAAUUGGGGCUUCAGAGUCAGGCAAAUAUAUAGAUUUGAUGCACGGAAGCUGAGUGAUACUUGGGCAAAUUGCUUCACCAGCCUCUCAACUCAGUCUCUUAACUUCAAAUCACCUUACUAGGGUUGUAUGGAAGAUACAAAUAAAAUAUAUACAGUACAAAUAAGAUAUCGUACAGUAAGCACUUAGAGCAGUAGCUGAUACCCACUGAACCUAACAAAUGAUGUCUGUUGUGGUAGAAAGAGUGAUGACCCAGGACAUUUCACAUUGAUGUGACACAAGUCUCUAAGUCCUUAGCGUCUUGUUAAAGAUUUCUGGCCUAGUUUUCCCAUUAACAAGUUUUUCUUUAAUUCUAUUGUGGUGAAGGCAUUCUGAUGUUCUUUAUGGUACUGACAUGGAAAUAGUUUCAUUGCCUUAUAUUAUCUUCUUACUGAUUGUUUUCCAAAAUUUAUAAGCAGUGAUUUUUUUUUUCACUGAUAGAUCCAUAUGGGCAAUUGUACUUUGUAUCCAUCUUGAUCUUUUCCUUUGUUCCUUUUCUUUCAGCCCCAGAUAAAAUGCAGCUAAUCAUGCCAACGUAUGUAUAGUCUCAUCCGACUAGCUCCAUCAUGUGUCUAGAAUGAGUUUUACAAUGACAAAAGUUGCUUCCACUUCAUGGCUACUAUGACCUCGAAUAAGAAUAAACAUCUGGUAAUAUA